rnacentral:rRNA from 1 species
GACGAACGCUGGCGGCGUGCUUAACACAUGCAGGUCGAACGGAAAGGCCCUGCUUUUGUGGGGUGCUCGAGUGGCGAACGGGUGAGUAACACGUGAGUAACCUGCCCUUGACUUUGGGAUAACUUCAGGAAACUGGGGCUAAUACCGGAUAGGAGCUCCUGCUGCAUGGUGGGGGUUGGAAAGUUUCGGCGGUUGGGGAUGGGCUCGCGGCUUAUCAGCUUGUUGGUGGGGUAGUGGCUUACCAAGGCUUUGACGGGUAGCCGGCCUGAGAGGGUGACCGGCCACAUUGGGGCUGAGAUACGGCCCAGACUCCUACGGGAGGCAGCAGUGGGGAAUAUUGCACAAUGGGCGGAAGCCUGAUGCAGCAACGCCGCGUGCGGGAUGACGGCCUUCGGGUUGUAAACCGCUUUCGCCUGUGACGAAGCGUGAGUGACGGUAAUGGGUAAAGAAGCACCGGCUAACUACGUG